rnacentral:rRNA from 1 species
GAACAACUCUCAGCAACGGAAAUCUCGGCUCUGGCAUCGAUAAAAAACGCACCGAAAUGCGAUAAGUGGUGUGAAUUGCAGGAUCCCGUGAACCAUCGAGUCUUUGAACGCAAGUUGCGCCCAAGGCCAUCAGGCCAAGGGCACGCCUGCCUGGGCAUUGCGAGUC